GGAUGGCAAUGCAAUUCUGGCAUCCCAGCAGGGAAAUACCAUGAAGACUAAGGACACGUACAUGAAAUUCAGCUGGCUGACCGUGACUGCAAAGUCAAUGGAUAAAGAACACAAAUGCAUCGUCAAACACGAGAAUAAUGAAAGAGGAGUUGAUCAAGAGAUUCUUUUUCCUUCAAUAAAUAAAGAGGUUGCUGGUCUUAAUCCUAAAGUAGAUGAUUGCCUGGAAGAUAAAAGUGAUAUACUGCGGUUGCAGCUCACCAAUACCUCCGCCUACUACACCUACAUCCUCCUCCUCCUCAAGAGCCUGGUCUACUUUGCCAUCAUUUCCUUCUGUCUGUUUAGGAGAACAGCAGUCUGUGGCCGUGGAAAGAGUUUAUAACUGAUGGUGGCACAAUUUUUCUUUACUUCUUUCCCCUGGACAAGUCUGCUGAGGAUGUAGCUGGACUUCCUUUCUGGGUUUGGAUUAUUUCAGUUCACACACACUUUUCUAUCAUGUCAUUAUCGCAUAAUGGUUUUCAAACCACUG